rnacentral:rRNA from 1 species
CCUACGGGAGGCAGCAGUCGGGAAUUUUGGGCAAUGGGCGAAAGCCUGACCCAGCAACGCCGCGUGAAGGAUGAAAUCCCUCGGGAUGUAAACUUCGCAAACGAGAGGAGCGGUACUGUUUGUAAGCUCCGGCUAACUCCGUGCCAGCAGCCGCGGUAAUACGGGGGGAGCAAGCGUUGUUCGGAUUUACUGGGCGUAAAGGGCGCGUAGGCGGCACCGCAAGUCAGUUGUGAAAUCUCUGGGCUUAACCCAGAAAGGUCAACUGAUACUGCGGGGCUAGAGUGCAGAAGGGGCAACUGGAAUUCUCGGUGUAGCGGUGAAAUGCGUAGAUAUCGAGAGGAACACCUGCGGCGAAGGCGGGUUGCUGGGCUGAACUGACGCUGAGGCGCGAAAGCUAGGGGAGCGAACGGGAUUAGAUACCCUUGUAGUC